rnacentral:misc_RNA from 1 species
CUUUCAAAAGCGUUGACUGAGGAUGAGCUUGUAUAUCUUAGAGCUCAAUUCAGGCUGUUGGAACCAAAUAGGGAUGGGAGUGUCUCUCUUGAUAACUUCAGAAUGGCUCUAGCACGUCAUGCAACUGAUGCCAUGAGGGAGUCAAGGGUUCCUGAAAUUCUCAAUGCGAUGGAGUCCCUUGCUUAUAGGAGGAUGUACUUUGAUGAGUUUUGUGCAGCUGCAAUCAGCACAUAUCAAUUAGAGGCACUUGAGGGGUGGGAGCAAAUUGCCGCCACUGCUUUUGAGCAUUUUGAAAGGGAGGGUAACAGAGUCAUCUCUCUUGAAGAAUUGGGACGAGAAUUGAAUGUUGGCCCUUCAGCUUAUUCAUUCAUCAAAGAUUGGAUCAGAAACUC